AUGUUUCUUAUAUAAGAAAAUAGUUACCUACUGAAGGAUAUACGACAAAACACUAUCAGGUUCAUCAUGAAUUCUACAUUCUUUCUCAUCAUCUUGGGAAUAUUAAUGAUGACUGCCCUGACCCAAGGUGAUGUAACAAUUUGUGAAAAUCAAUGCAAGAAAGACCAUCUGAAACCUGGAGAUUCUCAAGAUUUCCCAGAUUAUAUGAAGUGUAUUCUUCUGAAAUGUUAAUGGAGUAUAUUCGAUCUUUCUAAAUUGUGUACAGUAUACAUUAAAUAAAAUCAGUAUCGAUAUGCGAUAUUAUAAGCAAUGAUUUUAAAGAGAACAUAUAAAUAGACAAGAAACACUUGCAUAUCAGAUGUGCUUAUA